rnacentral:rRNA from 1 species
UACGUAGGGUGCGAGCGUUGUCCGGAAUUAUUGGGCGUAAAGAGCUCGUAGGCGGUGUGUCACGUCGGCCGUGAAAACCUGCAGCUUAACUGUGGGCGUGCGGUCGAUACGGGCAUCACUGGAGUUCGGCAGGGGAGACUGGAAUUCCUGGUGUAGCGGUGAAAUGCGCAGAUAUCAGGAGGAACACCGGUGGCGAAGGCGGGUCUCUGGGCCGUAACUGACGCUGAGGAACGAAAGCAUGGGGAGCGAACAGG